CCACUUCUUGUGUAAUGUUUUCACUUCAAACAAAAACAAGGGGGUUAAACCCUGAGCCACCUUGGACUGGCCUUCUGGGAAAGGUGUGUCUUUUGCAUUAAAUCCUCCCUACUCGAAUUACCCUGCUGCCAUGGCCCCGGAGCUGGAGAGGAAGUGAAAGUAACUUGCAAGCUAAUGUUACAGCUGCCAGAAACAAACACAGAGCAGACGAAGCCAACAAGCUAGCUAACUUGUUUACCAAUAAACUGUCCUUGUAGCAGGGAAAACAGAAGCAAGAAUCAUUCUUGGUUCUUGGAUCUGAAUCAAGUCGACCCCAAAAGAAAAAAAGAAGCAAGCAAAAGACUGCCCAUGACCAAUCCAUAAACCGGAUAAACAUUGGAAUUAAUUUUGAAAGGUGGAAGAGUGAAUCCAAAAUGGUCAUCGUUCUCAUGGACUUGUAGGGAGAUACUGGUGGAGACAGUCUGAUUUCGAGGGAACCUGAGGUAGAAAAAUCAACACCAAAAGAGAGACCAGGCUCCCAGAACGUGAAGGCAGACGCAUUGGAUAGACAGACAGCGAACGCCAGCACUUUCGCACAGCCAUUGAAGAGGAGUGGGACAACAUUUCACAGGCCACAAUCAACAGCCUGAUCAACUCUACAGUAUGCGAAGGAGAUGUGUCACACUGCAUGAGGCAAAUGAUGGUCACACCAGAUAAUGACUGGUUUUCUGAUCCACGGCCAUACCUUUUUUUUAAGGUAGACCCAUUGUAGCAGCGAUCGAAUCUGAUAUCCAACAUUUCUAAGUUUGUGGAUUACCACAUUAAACCGAUGGUUGCGAAUCUCCCAUCUUAUGUCAAAGACACCAGUCACAUUGAUAAAGGGCUUAGGAAGGAUACCAGAGGGCACCCUGCUGGCCACUUUUGAUGUGGAGAGCUUGUUCACUAACAUCCCACACACUGGAGGCUUGCAGGCUCUGCUACACUUCCUUCAGCAGAGAGACUAUACCCUUGCUCCAUCCAAUGAUUGCAUCUUACAACUUACUGAACUGGUAUUAUCCAAUAACUACUUCAUCUUUGAGUCAGACUUUUUCAUUCGAAUUCGGGGUGCCAUGGGCUCCCCCUUUCCCCCCAACUAUGCAAACCUGUAUGUGGGACAAUUUGAGGAAGCACUCCUUUACAAAACAGAGACACACGUCCUACUUUCUAAAAUUCUCCUAUGGAAGAGAUACAAAAACUCAGCAAAAAAAGAAACGUCCUCUCACUGUCAACAGCGUUUAUUUUCAGGAAACUUAAAUAAAUGUAAAUAUUUCUAUGAACAUAACAAGAAUCAACAACUGAGACAUAAACUGAACAAGUUCCACAUACAUGUGACAAAAAGAAAUGGAGUAAUGUGUCCCUGAACAAAGGGGGGGUCAAAAUCAAAAGUAACAGUCAGUAUCUGGUGUGGCCUCCAGCUGCAUAAAGUACUGCAGUGCAUCUCCCCCUCAUGGACUGCACCAGAUUUGCCAGUUCUUGCUGUGAGACGCUACCCCACUCUUCCACCAAGGCACCUGCAAGUUCCUGGACAUUUCUGCGGGGAAUGGCCCUAUGUCACGUCCUGACCAAACCCUCCCGGUUCUGACCUGUUCUGCCUGCCCUGACACUGAGCACGCCUUCCUGACCAUUCAGCCUGCCCUGACCUCGAGCCUGCCUGCCCCCUGUACCUUUUGGACUCUGAUUUGGUUAAUGAACUUCUGCCUGUUCUCGACCUGCCCAAUGCCUGCCCCUUGUAUUCUAAUAAAUAUCAGCGACGCUAACUAUCUGCCUCCUGUGUCUGCAUCUGGGUCUCGCCCUGUGUCGUUAUACAGUUUGGUUUCGGUAGAUAAGUUACUGCCAAUGAACGCUAAUGUUAGCAUUUUCGGAAGAAAUACAUUACUUUACUCAGCAAAGUAUGUCUAAAGUUGUGUAACACUUUUACAACAGUCUGACACUUUUGUAAUAAAAUUGUCAAUAUAUUUUCUUAAAUAUCUUCUGUAUUGUGUGCUUAUUGUUUAACCAUUCAUACAGUAUGUUCUAGGGCAGUGGUUCUCAAACGUUUUCGGUUACUGUACCACCAACUGAAUUUUGCUCUGCCUGGAGUACCCCCUCAUGUGCAUUUUACCAGUAAGCCUAUGAUCUCAUGAGUCUUCUAAAGUACCCCCUGGUUGGGAACCACUGUUCUAGGGGACAUUAAGACCUUAACCCCUGUUGGUAUAAGUCCUUAAAUAGCAAUAUCUACUAAACUAACAUAUGGAAUUAUUUUAAGAUGAUCAUAAAAUGUGUC
rnacentral:lncRNA from 1 species